AGGACGAACGCUGGCGGCGUGCUUAACACAUGCAAGUCGAGGGCACUUUGGGGGCAACUCUGGAGUGACCGGCGAACGGGUGCGUAACACGUGAGCGACCUUGCCUCGUGGUGGGGGAUAGCCGGCCCAACGGCCGGGUAAUACCGCAUAUGGUAGUUUCUUCGCAUGGGGAGACUAGCAAAGCCUUGGAGCAAUCCAAUGGCGCCACAGGGGGGGCUCGCGGCCUAUCAGCUAGUUGGGGGGUAAUGGCCCACCAAGGCGACGACGGGUAGCUGGU
rnacentral:rRNA from 1 species